rnacentral:rRNA from 1 species
GUGAAAGUCUGCAGCUUAACUGUAGAAUUGCCAUUGAUACUGUUAUCCUUGAGUGAUUAUGAAGUGGUUAGAAUGAGUAGUGUAGCGGUGAAAUGCAUAGAUAUUACUCAGAAUACCGAUUGCGAAGGCAGAUCACUAAUAAUACACUGACGCUGAUGGACGAAAGCGUAGGUAGCGAACAGGAUUAGAUACCCUGGUAGUCUACGCCGUAAACGAUGGUUACUAGCUGUUCGGAUCGAUGAGNACUGAGUGGUUAAGCGAAAGUGAUAAGUAACCCACCUGGGGAGUACGUUCGCAAGAAUGAAACUCAAAGGAAUUGACGGGGGCCCGCACAAGCGGUGGAGCAUGUGGUUUAAUUCGAUGAUACGCGAGGAACCUUACCAGGGCUUAAAUGUAGUCUGACAGGUCUGGAAACAGAUCCUUCUUCGGACAGAUUACAAGGUGCUGCAUGGUUGUCGUCAGCUCGUGCCGUGAGGUGUCAGGUUAAGUCCUAUAACGAGCGCAACCCCUGUGGUUAGUUGCCAGCGAGUAAUGUCGGGAACUCUAGCCAGACUGCCGGUGCAAACCGCGAGGAAGGUGGGGAUGACGUCAAAUCAUCACGGCCCUUACGUCCUGGGCCACACACGUGCUACAAUGGUANGGACAGAGAGCAGCCACUGGGCG